rnacentral:rRNA from 1 species
AGACCCGAAACCCGGUGAUCUAGCCAUGGGCAGGUUGAAGGUUGGGUAACACUAACUGGAGGACCGAACCGACUAAUGUUGAAAAAUUAGCGGAUGACCUGUGGCUGGGGGUGAAAGGCCAAUCAAACCGGGAGAUAGCUGGUUCUCCCCGAAAGCUAUUUAGGUAGCGCCUCGUGAAUUCAUCUCCGGGGGUAGAGCACUGUUUCGGCUAGGGGGCCAUCCCGGCUUACCAACCCGAUGCAAACUGCGAAUACCGGAGAAUGUUAUCACGGGAGACACACGGCGGGUGCUAACGUCCGUCGUGAAGAGGGAAACAACCCAGACCGCCAGCUAAGGUCCCAAAGUCAUGGUUAAGUGGGAAACGAUGUGGGAAGGCCCAGACAGCCAGGAUGUUGGCUUAGAAGCAGCCAUCAUUUAAAGAAAGCGUAAUAGCUCACUGGUCGAGUCGGCCUGCGCGGAAGAUGUAACGGGGCUAAACCAUGCACCGAAGCUGCGGCAGCGACACUCAGGUGUUGUUGGGUAGGGGAGCGUUCUGUAAGCCUGUGAAGGUGUGUCGUGAGGCAUGCUGGAGGUAUCAGAAGUGCGAAUGCUGACAUAAGUAACGAUAAAGCGGGUGAAAAGCCCGCUCGCCGGAAGACCAAGGGUUCCUGUCCAACGUUAAUCGGGGCAGGGUGAGUCGACCCCUAAGGCGAGGCCGAAAGGCGUAGUCGAUGGGAAACGGGUUAAUAUUCCCGUACUUGGUGUUACUGCGAAGGGGGGACGGAGAAGGCUAUGUUGGCCGGGCGACGGUU